GAUGAAGAACGUAGCGAAAUGCGAUAAGUAGUGUGAAUUGCAGAAUUCAGUGAAUCAUCGAAUCUUUGAACGCACCUUGCACCCUUUGGCAUUCCGAAGGGUAUGCUCGUUUGAGUGUCAUUGUACUCUCACUCUCCCGAUACUUUUGGAUCGGGAGUGGUGGACUUGGGUGCUGCUGCUUAACUGUGGCUCGCCUUAAAUGAAGUAGUGCAACUCUCGGUUGGACAUAGUACGGCGUGAUAAGUGUCUUCGCCGGCGCCUCAUUCGAGGGUGGCCGAUCGGGAGCUCUGUGCUUCAAACUGUCUUCGGACAACAUCUGACAACUUGACCUCAAAUCGAGUAGGACUACCCGCUGAACUUAAGCAUAUCAAUAAGCGGAGGA
rnacentral:misc_RNA from 1 species